rnacentral:rRNA from 1 species
GAUGAACGCUGGCGGCGUGCCUAAUACAUGCAAGUCGAGCGAACAGACGAGGAGCUUGCUCCUCUGACGUUAGCGGCGGACGGGUGAGUAACACGUGGAUAACCUACCUAUAAGACUGGGAUAACUUCGGGAAACCGGAGCUAAUACCGGAUAAUAUAUUGAACCGCAUGGUUCAAUAGUGAAAGACGGUUUUGCUGUCACUUAUAGAUGGAUCCGCGCCGCAUUAGCUAGUUGGUAAGGUAACGGCUUACCAAGGCAACGAUGCGUAGCCGACCUGAGAGGGUGAUCGGCCACACUGGAACUGAGACACGGUCCAGACUCCUACGGGAGGCAGCAGUAGGGAAUCUUCCGCAAUGGGCGAAAGCCUGACGGAGCAACGCCGCGUGAGUGAUGAAGGUCUUCGGAUCGUAAAACUCUGUUAUUAGGGAAGAACAAAUGUGUAAGUAACUAUGCACGUCUUGACGGUACCUAAUCAGAAAGCCCCGGCUACCUACGU